GCCUUUAGCAACACAAGUAUUAAAGGUCCCGCCUGCCCAGUGAUAUAUUUUAACGGCCGCGGUAUUCUAACCGUGCAAAGGUAGCGUAAUCACUUGUCUUCUAAAUAAAGACCAGUAUGAACGGCUAAAUGAGGACAAACCUGUCUCCUACAACAAAUCAGUGAAACUGAUCUCCCAGUACAAAAGCUGGGAUAAACACAUAAGACGAGAAGACCCUGUGGAGCUUACAAAUAAAUGAUCAACAAACCACAACCAAGACAACAAUGAUCCUAUAUUUUAAGUUGGGGCGACUUCGGAAAAAAAUAAAACUUCCGAGAAAAGGGCCACCUAGCCCACCAUAAGGGAUACAACCCUAAAGCACAAAAGUGAUUUAGACCCAGUCAAACUGAUUAACGAACCAAGUUACCCCAGGGAUAACAGCGCCAUCUUCUUCAAGAGUCCAUAUCGACAAGAAGGUUUACGACCUCGAUGUUGGAUCAGGACACCCAAAUGGUGCAGCAGCUAUUAAAGGUUCGUUUGUUCAACGAUUAACAGUCCUACGUGAUCUGAGUUCAGACCGGAGCAAUCC
rnacentral:rRNA from 1 species